rnacentral:rRNA from 1 species
UACGUAGGGUGCAAGCGUUGUCCGGAAUUAUUGGGCGUAAAGAGCUCGUAGGCGGUCUGUCGCGUCGGCUGUGAAAACCCGGGGCUCAACCCCGGGCUUGCGGUCGAUACGGGCAUCACUGGAGUUCGGCAGGGGAGACUGGAAUUCCUGGUGUAGCGGUGAAAUGCGCAGAUAUCAGGAGGAACACCGGUGGCGAAGGCGGGUCUCUGGGCCGAUACUGACGCUGAGGAGCGAAAGCGUGGGGAGCGAACAGG